CCUACGGGUGACAGCAGUGAGGAAUAUUGGUCAAUGGCCGGAAGGCUGAACCAGCCAUGCCGCGUGAAGGUCAGUGCCCUAUGGGCGUUAAACUUCUUUUGUGAGGGAGCAAUACUGGUCACGUGUGGCCAGACGAGAGUACCGUACGAAUAAGCAUAGGCUAACUCCGUGCCAGCAGCCGCGGUAAUACGGGGGAUGCUAGCGUUAUCCGGAUUAAUUGGGUUGAAAGGGUGCGUAGGCUGGGAGGUAAGUCAGCGGGGAAAUGCCCCCGCUCAACGGGGUGAAGUGCUAUUGAUACUGGCUUGCUGGAAUGCGGAUGCCGUAGGAGGAAUGUGUGGUGUAGCGGUGAAAUGCAUAGAUAUCACACAGAACACCGAUUGCGAAGGCAGCUCACGAGUCCGCGAUUGACGCUGAUGCACGAAAGCGUGGGUAGCAAACAGGAUUAGAUACCCGUGUAGUC
rnacentral:rRNA from 1 species